ACGUCCUGGCCAAUCUCCAGCAGACCCUCCCUCCCAGACCCUCCUACUUCCUGGACAGCAUCCAUGUUUCAACAUGGAUGCUGUCCAGGAAGUAGGAGGGCCUGGGAGGGAGGGUCUGCUGGAGAUUUCAACAUGGAU